rnacentral:tRNA from 2 species
GCUAAUGUAGCUUAAACAAAGCGUACCGCUGAAGACGGUAAGAUAGGCUCUAAUAAAGCCCCAAUAGCA